CAAAAAUGUGUAUUAUUACAAAACAAAAGCAAAAGAAAUAAUGUUAGAAAGACCUAAGUGUUAUAAGAGAUUCUCUAAUUGUUAGCCAAUUUAUCCUUUUCCUAAUCUGUUAAUUUUUCAGAUUAGCUUUGGUUCUUCAUUUGAGAUUUUUAUUGGUCAAACUUGAAAUAUGAUGCCAUUUUUUUUUUACUUUUCUUAGAAUUUCUUAUGGAUGUCAUGGAAAAGGGACUAUGCCUGAUGACAUCACAUACAAAAAACAUAUCUUUUUGUAGAUCAUUGGUAAAGAAGGAUUAUGUUUGUAUACAUAUAUAUAUAUAUUGUCUAUAAAUUAUUAAAAAAGCAGAUUCCACCACCAAAUCUUGUGCAAUACAUUAUUUUUUCAUUCUUUACAUUCAAAAUUCAAAUAUUAAAUAGGCUUAGCAAGCUUCAAGUUUAAAAAUUUGAAAAUUUAACUGUCUGAAGUGGAAAAAUAUUGUAGUGCACUCAAUGAAGUGAUAAAAUCUAUUAAAAAAUAUCUAUUUUCUUAACACAUAAAGGAAAACAGUCAAAACAGUCAUAAUUAUGUUCAUGGUAUCACUGAACAGACUAUGUAGUCAUAUUUAAG
rnacentral:lncRNA from 1 species